rnacentral:rRNA from 1 species
UACGUAGGUGGCAAACGUUGUCCGGAUUCACUGGGCGUAAAGCGCGCGCAGGCGGAUUGGUCAGUCUGGGGUGAAAUCUCUCGGCUCAACUGAGAGAGGUCCCUGGAUACCGCCAGUCUUGAGGGGCUCAGAGGAGAGUGGAAUUCCGCGUGUAGUGGUGGAAUGCGUAGAUACGCGGAGGAACACCAGUGGCGAAAGCGGCUCUCCUGGGGGCCACCUGACGCUGAGGCGCGAAAGCGUGGGGAGCGAACCGG